ACACUGUACAAUGGAUUUCUCGGCUCCCACAUCG
rnacentral:rRNA from 1 species